rnacentral:lncRNA from 1 species
UCUCCCCUUGAGGAACUGAUGUGUAUGAAAAUACAUGCACAAAAUAUGAAACAGUCACAAUCACAAUUACUAAGUUGGUCCAUAAUCACUCAGCUUGUCUCGAGUGGUGGAAGUAACUGCCUAAUCCGUAGUUAAUGACUUCCAUCCAAGUCAAGUCAAGUCAAAAAUCGAGAGCCGACAAUCGAGCAAAAAAAGAAAGAAGAAAAAAAAAAUCAAUGUUGAUCCGGCGCUUAGCAGCCAGCCUCAAAACAGGAGAAAUUACCGCACACGAGGGAGAGCUGCAAGCCUCCAACCCAAUCCAAGACAAUCCGCCCCCGCUCCCUAAGCCCUUUCCAAGGGUCGAUCAUGCAAGUUGAUGAGUCUAUACAAACGGUCCAUAAUCCUCUUUUUGCAAAAUUAAUCCCGCUCGCUCUAUUCCCGAGGCUCCAUGAACCAUGAGUUUUCUUCCAAAAAAAAAAAAAACAAGGUCAUUUCAUUUAGCUAUCUUAUUCAGGAAAUAUUGGCUAAUUUUUGCGAUCUCUCACGAUCUGAAUAUACUAACUAUAUACUAGGCUUGUCAGCCAAUCAAUGCCGCUAGAUCAACACUUUCCCCCUGAGCUGUUAGGGGGCGCAAUAAUUUUUGAAUUUGAUGGAUGGACUGAACAGGUUCUGGUCAGGAAGUGUGCGUUAAUGUUUGAGUUUUGGUGAAAGUUUGUUUUCGCAAAAGGGUGGGAAGGGAAAGGCGAGCCUACAGCCGGGCUUCAUCCGGCACUUCGUUCUGUUUUUGACGGUCCCAGCUUUAGAUGAGAUGAGAUGAAUGACGCUAAACUCCGAGUCAAGACGUCCGGCGGCUGUUCGGAUGCUGACUCUUGUGCUCCGUAUAACUCGUUAACUACAGUAAGUUAGUUAGUUGUCCCCGGGGCAGAUAAGUUAUGCGGCGGAUUACGAUUACGAUUAUGAUUGCUCCGUCCAGGCUGAUAAGACGGAGGAGUGGACGUCAUAUUUUAGUUACGAGACAUACAUGAGCUAACUAAUUGCCGACGAGGAUGACCUAGGCACUAUCCUAGCAAUACGCCACUUACGCACUAACAUGGCAGGGCAUGACAUGACAUGACAUGACCUGACCUGACCUGACCUGACAUGGCAUGGGCUACGUGGUCCUCGCUUUCACCUGCCUGCGGAGGACGUGUUCGUUCUACUCCGUUACGGAGACAUGGCCGAAAAACACUGCGUACUACGUAGUACACUCGGAGUACGUACGUACGGAGUCCUACGAGACGAGUCGAGAGGCUCAAUUUUCAGCCACAGUCCACAAAUGGACCCUGCAUAAUGUUCAGCCACAUCGUCUAUUUUAGCUUUUUGGUUCAUUCAUUUGUGGGCUCUGUGGCUAGUGUCACUAGCCACGGGGUCCACCGCGAGAAAAGAGAAAGCAAAUCCCUAGCUUUCUAGCCCACUGUGCUAGCCCGCGGCAUUUCUACGGACUUUGCUCGGUCAAGGUGGUGCUCAGCUCAAUCCCUCUGUUCAGUGGUAGAGUAUAGUAUGCCCAGACGGAACUUUCGUGCCGUUUACUCCGCAAGCAAUGGAUGGUGGGAUGAACAGUCCGGCACGUGCAAAUCAAUUGAGCCACAUACUUCACCACUAGCCACAUUCCAAUCUCUUAUCGGACCGCCAGGCCGGGCUAGGCCGUUUUGGGGCUAGUCAGGACUCGGUACUCUGUAGGUCCGGCAUGCCCGAUCGUUUUUUCAUGAUUGGCUGACGGACAUGUCCGUGUGUGUAUCGUAUCCAAGAAUCCAAGAAUCCAAGAUGUCAAAGAUAUCAAAGUUCAAAGUCCGUCGGCUCGAAGAAACACAUGUGACGAGCUGUCACUACGACUGUAGGCUCUGUCGGUGUAGUCGGUCGAUGUAGUCUGUCGGGUGUCGGCAUUCCGACUUACCGACUAAGUUAGGUAUACGCAUGCCCUAAUACGGUAAUUUUUC